ACUCCUACGGGAGGCAGCAGUAAGGAAUAUUGGUCAAUGGACGCAAGUCUGAACCAGCCAUGCCGCGUGAAGGAUGAAGGUCCUCUGGAUUGUAAACUUCUUUUAUAGGGGGCGAAAAAGGUUUUUCUAAAUCACUUGACAGUACCCUAUGAAUAAGCACCGGCUAACUCCGUGCCAGCAGCCGCGGUAAUACGGAGGGUGCAAGCGUUAUCCGGAUUCACUGGGGUUUAAAGGGUGCGUAGGCGGGUAGGUAAGUCAGAGGUGAAAUCCUGGAGCUUAACUCCAGAACUGCCUUUGAUACUAUCUAUCUUGAAUAUGGUGGAGGUAAGCGGAAUAUGUCAUGUAGCGGUGAAAUGCAUAGAUAUGACAUAGAACACCUAUUGCGAAGGCAGCUUACUACGCCUAUAUUGACGCUGAGGCACGAAAGCGUGGGGAUCAAACAGGAUUAGAUACCCUGGUAGCACAGAG
rnacentral:rRNA from 1 species